rnacentral:sRNA from 1 species
GCUAGGUGCGACGGCGCAUGCCUAUAAUCCCAGUGACUUGGGAGGCUGAGGCAGGAGGAUCACAAGUUGGAGGCCAGCCUCAGCAACUUCGUGAGACCCAGUCUCAA